CAGGACGAACGCUGGCGGCGUGCCUAACACAUGCAAGUCGAGCGAGGAGAUCCUUCGGGAUGAUCCUAGCGGCGGACGGGUGAGUAACACGUGGGCAACCUGCCUCAUAGAGAGGAAUAGCCUUCCGAAAGGGAGAUUAAUACCUCAUAACAUUGCAGUUUCGCAUGGAACAGCAAUUAAAGGAGUAAUCCGCUAUGAGAUGGGCCCGCGGCGCAUUAGCUAGGUUGGUGAGGUAACGGCUCACCAAGGCGACGAUGCGUAGCCGACCUGAGAGGGUGAUCGGCCACAUUGGGACUGAGACACGGCCCAGACUCCUACGGGAGGCAGCAGUGGGGAAUAUUGCACAAUGGGGGAAACCCUGAUGCAGCAACGCCGCGUGAGUGAUGACGGCCUUCGGGUUGUAAAGCUCUGUCUUCAGGGACGAUAAUGACGGUACCUGAGGAGGAAGCCACGGCUAACUACGUGCCAGCAGCUGC
rnacentral:rRNA from 1 species